CCUACGGGAGGCAGCAGUGGGGAAUAUUGCACAAUGGGCGCAAGCCUGAUGCAGCCAUGCCGCGUGUAUGAAGAAGGCCUUCGGGUUGUAAAGUACUUUCAGUCGGGAGGAAGGUGUCAAGGUUAAUAACCUUGGCAAUUGACGUUACCGACAGAAGAAGCACCGGCUAACUCCGUGCCAGCAGCCGCGGUAAUACGGAGGGUGCAAGCGUUAAUCGGAAUUACUGGGCGUAAAGCGCACGCAGGCGGUUGAUUGAGUCAGAUGUGAAAUCCCCGGGCUUAACCCGGGAAUUGCAUCUGAUACUGGUCAGCUAGAGUCUUGUAGAGGGGGGUAGAAUUCCAUGUGUAGCGGUGAAAUGCGUAGAGAUGUGGAGGAAUACCGGUGGCGAAGGCGGCCCCCUGGACAAAGACUGACGCUCAGGUGCGAAAGCGUGGGGAGC
rnacentral:rRNA from 1 species